rnacentral:rRNA from 1 species
CAAGGCUUGACAUGUACGAGAACGCCCCAGAGAUGGGGUUCUCUUUGGACACUCGUAUACAGGUGGUGCAUGGCUGUCGUCAGCUCGUGUCGUGAGAUGUUGGGUUAAGUCCCGCAACGAGCGCAACCCUCGUCCUAUGUUGCCAGCACGUCAUGGUGGGGACUCAUAGGAGACUGCCGGGGUCAACUCGGAGGAAGGUGGGGAUGACGUCAAGUCUUCAUGCCCCUUAUGUCCAGGGCUUCAAGCAUGCUACAAUGGCCGGUACAAAGGGCUGCGAUGCCGUAAGGUGGAGCGAAUCCCAAAAAGCCGGUCUCAGUUCGGAUUGGGGUCUGCAACUCGACCCCAUGAAGUCGGAGUCGCUAGUAAUCGCAGAUCAGCAACGCUGCGGUGAAUACGUUCCC